rnacentral:rRNA from 1 species
AUGCACGCUGGCGGCGUGCCUCAUACAUGCCAGUCGCGCGAACAGACGAGGAGCUUGCUCCUCUGAUGUUAGCGGCGGACGGGUGAGUAACACGUGGAUAACCUACCUAUAAGACUGGGAUAACUUCGGGAAACCGGAGCUAAUACCGGAUAACAUGUUGAACCGCAUGGUUCAACAGUGAAAGACGGUCUUGCUGUCACUUAUAGAUGGAUCCGCGCCGCAUUAGCUAGUUGGUAAGGUAACGGCUUACCAAGGCAACGAUGCGUAGCCGACCUGAGAGGGUGAUCGGCCACACUGGAACUGAGACACGGUCCAGACUCCUACGGGAGGCAGCAGUAGGGAAUCUUCCGCAAUGGGCGAAAGCCUGACGGAGCAACGCCGCGUGAGUGAAGAAGGUCUUCGGAUCGUAAAACUCUGUUAUUAGGGAAGAACAAAUGUGUAAGUAACUAUGCACGUCUUGACGGUACCUAAUCAGAAAGCCACGGCUAACUACGUG